GGCCUGUAUGCAUCCUUCCCCUGGUGUUAUUCUGCAUAGGAAAGAGAAAUCUUGGAUGAAAAGCUGUUUCCAGUGCUGCAUCUUACUGGUGAAAAGACGGUUUGCCACCAGGUAUCGUCGAUGGACAAAAUGGUGAUGGUAGCAUUCUCCUCUGUAAAUAGUUAUGGUAAUUGGGCACUGCUGCAAUGGACUCCAGUGUAAAAGAUUUGGUGGGAGGAUAUCUGCUCAUUUGGCCAUUCUUCUGUUACCGAAGCAUACUUCAUACUCAGUGAGUCCAGAGAUGCUGUGAUUCAGCUGAAGCCACAAUUGUAUGCAGAGCCAGUUGAUACUAUGAAGAGACCGACUCAAUAUAUUUGGUGGUGAUACUUUGAAGCACUGCAAACAAGGG